UGGGGAAUAUUGGACAAUGGGGGCAACCCUGAUCCAGCAAUGCCGCGUGUGUGAAGAAGGCCUGCGGGUUGUAAAGCACUUUAAGUGGGGAGGAAAGGCGCAAGGUGAAUAGCCUUGCGAGUUGACGUUACCCACAGAAUAAGCACCGGCUAACUCCGUGCCAGCAGCCGCGGUAAUACGGAGGGUGCGAGCGUUAAUCGGAAUUACUGGGCGUAAAGCGCGUGUAGGCGGCGCGUUAAGUCAGAUGUGAAAGCCCCGGGCUCAACCUGGGAAUGGCAUUUGAUACUGGCGAGCUAGAAUGCGGUAGAGGGAGGCGGAAUUCCCGGUGUAGCGGUGAAAUGCGUAGAUAUCGGGAAGAACACCGAUGGCGAAGGCAGCCUCCUGGGCCGACAUUGACGCUGAGACGCGAAAGCGUGGGGAGCAAACAGGAUUAGAUACCCGUGUAGUCC
rnacentral:rRNA from 1 species